rnacentral:miRNA from 1 species
CUUGUGUAUAGGUAUCCUUGAUUUCCUAUAGAAGUAGAAACCGUAUAUGGUGCAGUAGGUUUCUACUUCUAUAGGAAAUCAAGGAUACCUAUACACAAGAAGGGUG